rnacentral:rRNA from 1 species
CCUACGGGAGGCAGCAGUGAGGAAUAUUGGACAAUGGGCGCAAGCCUGAUCCAGCCAUGCCGCGUGCAGGAUGACGGUCCUAUGGAUUGUAAACUGCUUUUAUACAGGAAGAAACACCUCUACGUGUAGAGACUUGACGGUACUGUAAGAAUAAGGAUCGGCUAACUCCGUGCCAGCAGCCGCGGUAAUACGGAGGAUCCAAGCGUUAUCCGGAAUCAUUGGGUUUAAAGGGUCCGUAGGCGGUUUAGUAAGUCAGUGGUGAAAGCCCAUCGCUCAACGGUGGAACGGCCAUUGAUACUGCUAGACUUGAAUUAUUAGGAAGUAACUAGAAUAUGUAGUGUAGCGGUGAAAUGCUUAGAGAUUACAUGGAAUACCAAUUGCGAAGGCAGGUUACUACUAAUUGAUUGACGCUGAUGGACGAAAGCGUGGGUAGCGAACAGGAUUAGAUACCCUGGUAGUCCACGCCGUAAACGAUGGAUACUAGCUGUUGGGAGCAAUCUCAGUGGCUAAGCGAAAAGUGAUAAGUAUCCCACCUGGGGAGUACGAACGCAAGUUUGAAACUCAAAGAGUAGUAGACGAGAGAGAGCGACGACGACGACGAGGAGGGAGGNG